rnacentral:lncRNA from 1 species
GGCCGCCGGCGCGCCUGCCGUGCCCAGUGCUGAGCGAGCGGCGCGGCCGGGACGGGACGGCGCGGCCGGGGCGGGCGCCAGAAUGGUUGCCUGGGGAAAACAGCACUGCUGUGUUGGCAGAAUACAGGAGAUUUUGUUGAGAUUCAGGAUUGUUCAAGCAGUCUUUUUACUUCAGUUGUUCUUGGCUACAGCAAGCAAAGUUGAGACUACUGCUACACUAACUAGCAGAAAAACAACAGAUUCUGAAGAAUCCGCUGCAACAACCAUGUUUGAUAUGUCUUCAGAGGAGACUACACAAAGUACAGAAGCCCUUACAACAACUGACUAUUACUCCACCUUAACACCAGCUGGAGAAACUAUUGUAUGCAAUGUAACACGUGCCUGUAAUUAUUCAGUGUUCUAUGUGGGAAAGGUAAAACUUCGGGCAAGUGAAGAAAGUAAUGCAUCACUAAAUGUAGAAAUAAUUAAUAACAUAACCACCCACAAUCAAGUCAAAAAAUUAAUUGAAAUUCCAGCACAUACCCCACAAGAACUGAGGUAAGUAAUUCUGAAUAAGAAUUGAAAUCUUUUUUAUAAUUGAAAAAGUUGGAGUG